UAGAGUCACCUCCCUCUUUCUGCCCACCC
rnacentral:piRNA from 1 species